rnacentral:rRNA from 1 species
GUGCCAGCCGCCGCGGUAAUACCGGCAGCUCGAGUGAUGUCCAAUAUUAUUGGGCCUAAAGCGUCCGUAGCUGGCCGCGCAAGUCCGUCGGGAAAUCCACCUGCCCAACAGGUGGGCGUCCGGCGGAAACUGUGUGGCUUGGAACCGGAAGGCUCAGAGGGUACGUCCGGGGUAGGAGUGAAAUCCUGUAAUCCUGGACGGACCACCAAUGGGGAAACCACCUCAGGAAGACGGACCCGACGGUGAAGGACGAAAGCUAGGGUCUCGAACCGGAUUAGAAACCCUGGUAGUCC